CUGUUACCCGGCAACCUGCAACACAGACUCAGGGCGUGCCGGUGCCGCUGUCUCCAGGGGAAUGGCCACACGGCUACACACGGCCGGAGUCCCUCCCAUCGGGGCCCCAAACUCCCACCAGCCUGACACUAACGGGUGUGCUGUGGCAGUGACUGAACCUGUUCAUCAGCAAAUGAGAUAAAGGGUGGUGGUCUCUGUCUCCCAUCUGCUAAACAGAACAAGAUGACGUUUGCGGGGGAACAGACUUUUGUACUGGUCAACGGGGCAACUUUACCAGAGCAAGAGGCAUUUCUUGCUAAAUACAGAUUAGGUGCAUCUAUUUA